CGAGCGGCGGACGGGUGAGUAACACGUGGGUAACCUGCCCAAGAGACUGGGAUAACACCUGGAAACAGAUGCUAAUACCGGAUAACAACACUAGACGCAUGUCUAGAGUUUGAAAGAUGGUUCUGCUAUCACUCUUGGAUGGACCUGCGGUGCAUUAGCUAGUUGGUAAGGUAACGGCUUACCAAGGCAAUGAUGCAUAGCCGAGUUGAGAGACUGAUCGGCCACAUUGGGACUGAGACACGGCCCAAACUCCUACGGGAGGCAGCAGUAGGGAAUCUUCCACAAUGGACGAAAGUCUGAUGGAGCAACGCCGCGUGAGUGAAGAAGGGUUUCGGCUCGUAAAGCUCUGUUGGUAGUGAAGAAAGAUAGAGGUAGUAACUGGCCUUUAUUUGACGGUAAUUACUUAGAAAGUCACGGCUAACUACGUGCCAGCAGCCGCGGUAAUACGUAGGUGGCAAGCGUUGUCCGGAUUUAUUGGGCGUAAAGCGAGUGCAGGCGGUUCAAUAAGUCUGAUGUGAAAGCCUUCGGCUCAACCGGAGAAUUGCAUCAGAAACUGUUGAACUUGAGUGCAGAAGAGGAGAGUGGAACUCCAUGUGUAGCGGUGGAAUGCGUAGAUAUAUGGAAGAACACCAGUGGCGAAGGCGGCUCUCUGGUCUGCAACUGACGCUGAGGCUCGAAAGCAUGGGUAGCGAACAAGAUUAGAUACCCUGGUAGUCCAUGCCGUNAACGAUGAGUGCUAAGUGUUGGGAG
rnacentral:rRNA from 1 species